UACGGAGGGGGCGAGCGUUGUCCGAAGUUACUGGGCGUAAAGGGCGCGUAGGCGGGAACUUAAGUCCGCUGUGAAAGCCUGGAGCUUAACUCCAGAGGGUCGGUGGAGACUGGGUUUCUUGAAAGGGCUAGGGGGAGAUGGAAUUACCGGUGUAGCGGUGAAAUGCGUAGAUAUCGGUAGGAACACCGGUGGCGAAGGCGGCAUCCUGGACCGACACUGACGCUGAGGAGCGAAAGCCAGGGGAGCAAACGGG
rnacentral:rRNA from 1 species